UAAAGAGGGGCAGCUGUAAUGGCCCAAUAUUGCCCGGCCCAAAUUAGAAAUAAAUAAACAAAAAUAUAAAAAAUAAAAUAAACCAAACAAAAAUCUAAAAGUCUACAGUCCAAAUACAUGGGCCCAACGUGGCCCAAAUCAUUUUAACCCAUUAGCCUAGCCCAAUAACCCCAAAUCAUUUAACCUAAACUACCCAAACCGUUAGCCCAAUACAAGCCCAAAACAGUUUCAAAGAAACCCUAGCAGCAACAGCUUCCAGCGCCGCAGCCACCAAGGCCAUCCUCUGCGCGUGCUGAGCCACUCUCCACGCAUUCAGUGCCUCCACGCACCUCUAGCUGGCCUCCGUAUGCCGUACCUGGGCAGCAAACAAACAAACAACCAACAACGAAAAGAAAACAAAAAAAAGAGCAAAAAGAAAAAAAGAAC
rnacentral:lncRNA from 1 species